UACGAAGGGGGCUAGCGUUGCUCGGAAUUACUGGGCGUAAAGCGUGCGCAGGCGGUUCGGGAUGUCUGGUGUGAAAGCCCCGGGCUUAACCUGGGAAUUGCAUUGGAAACUAGCGGGCUGGAGUGUGGCAGAGGGGGGUGGAAUUCCACGUGUAGCAGUGAAAUGCGUAGAGAUGUGGAGGAACACCGAUGGCGAAGGCAGCCCCCUGGGCUAACACUGACGCUCAUGCACGAAAGCGUGGGGAGCAAACAGG
rnacentral:rRNA from 1 species